rnacentral:lncRNA from 1 species
AGGCAGCAACCAUUUGAUUUUCUGGGGGGGGCUAUGGAUUUUUUUCUGGACAAACUUUUUUUUUCGCCUGUGGCGAAAACAAUCUAUUUUUUUCGCGACAAGUCGAAAACCAUUUUUUUCUUUCAAUUUUAGCAUUACAUAUAGUGGCAGCUGAGGGGGAAACAAACAAUUUUUUUUUCUCAGAAUCAAAAACAAAUUAUUUUUUUCUCCAAAAACUGGAAACAAACUUUUUUUUCCAAAAAAAUCCCUAGCCCCCCCCCCCCC